rnacentral:rRNA from 1 species
AAACUUUCAACAACGGAUCUCUUGGCUCUGGCAUCGAUGAAGAACGCAGCGAAAUGCGAUACGUAAUGUGAAUUGCAGAACUCCGUGAAUCAUCGAAUUUUUGAACGCAUAUUGCGCCACCCAAUCUUUUGGGUGGCAUGCCUGUUCGAGCGUCAUUU